AAUAUUGAUUAAAAAUGAUAGUUAUAUUUUAGGAGAUUAAAACAAAAAAACAACCUAAAACUGAACCGAUAUUCAGAUUAAACAUAUUAAUAUAUGCUUAUUAAAAAAUAACGAAACUAAUAAUCACAUUCCGCGAAAGGCGCGGGUUAUUAGCUAGUUGUUAAUGUAAAGAAGAAUCAGGUGACUGUAACACAAGUUCUUUGUGAGAAUUGAUCAGGAGGGACGACUGACUCUAGAAUUGCUACCAAGAGUUGAUAAAAUAUUAAGCCUUUUUUUCAAAAAAAAGAAAGAGUUGAUAAAAUAUUAUUAUUUGGCCCGUUCGACUUGAGCCAAACACUCUAAAUGAACGAGAGGGUCUUUGAGGCUUUUGUUUUAGGCCCUAGUCGGACAUAUUGGAGUAGUGAAGCAAAGAGGCAAGCAAGAGCAUACACUUUCCUCCUCUGCAUCACCAUUGACGAAGGUAGAACAACUCCAUAACUCUCAAAGCUUAUACCUUUACUUACACUUGUUGGUUGGACAAUGAAGAAGGGAAUACAUCCACAGAUGCAAUGGAUCUCUUAUGUGACACAGAGCGGUAGAUUGAUGCACGUCAUGAUGACAAGGAUCCACCAUGUUGGCAAAGUCUAUCACUUUGGAGCUAAGCGUCAGCUGGCUCAAAGCAUUGGCCAGAUUGCCAAGUUCAAGCGUAGGUUUAACGAGCAAGAGGAAGAACCUUCCCAUGAUAAUAAUAACAUCGACAACCAGAAGAAGUAACUGCGUACUCCAACUCUUCUUCUUCUUCUUUUCUCUCUUUCCUUUCCUCAAAAGCCAAAUCUCAACAAGGCUUAAGACUUUGCAUUUGCUCAAGGCACUAUGAACCUUGCUUUGUUUCUCAUAAUUGAUUUUAACGGUUCUUGAGUCGCACUGUUUCAUCAAUAAAAAAAAUUAUUAUUAUA